UGGGGAAUUUUGGACAAUGGGCGCAAGCCUGAUCCAGCCAUGCCGCGUGCAGGAUGAAGGCCUUCGGGUUGUAAACUGCUUUUGUACGGAACGAAAAGACUCCUUCUAAUAAAGGGGGUCCAUGACGGUACCGUAAGAAUAAGCACCGGCUAACUACGUGCCAGCAGCCGCGGUAAUACGUAGGGUGCGAGCGUUAAUCAGAAUUACUGGGCGUAAAGCGUGCGCAGGCGGUCAUAUAAGACAGAGGUGAAAUCCCCGGGCUCAACCUAGGAACUGCAGUUGUGACGGUAUAGCUAGAGUACCGCAGAGGGGGAUGGAAUUCCGCGUGUAGCAGUGAAAUGCGUAGAUAUGCGGGGGAACACCGAUGGCAAAGGCGAUCCCCUAGGCCUGUACUGACGCUCAUACACGAAAGCGUGGGGAGCGGACA
rnacentral:rRNA from 1 species